rnacentral:rRNA from 1 species
UUAUUCUUGCCGGUGGAUCACUCGGCUCGUAGGUCGAUGAAGAUCGCAGCCAAAUGCGAUAGCUAGUGCGAACUGCAGAUAUUCUGAGCACUAAGAUGUCGAAUAUAAAUUAUGCCUUGGGACCUUCAUCCCUUGGCACGCCUGGUUCAGGGUCGUUC